rnacentral:rRNA from 1 species
AUUGAACGCUGGCGGCAUGCCUUACACAUGCAAGUCGAACGGUAACAGGUCUUCGGAUGCUGACGAGCGGCGAACGGGUGAGUAAUACAUCGGAACGUGCCUAGUAGUGGGGGAUAACUACUCGAAAGAGUGGCUAAUACCGCAUGGGAUCUACGGAUGAAAGCAGGGGAUCGCAAGAACUUGUGCUACUAGAGCGGCCGAUGGCAGAUUAGGUAGUUGGUGGGAUAAAAGCUUACCAAGCCGACGAUCUGUAGCUGGUCUGAGAGGACGAUCAGCCACACUGGGACUGAGACACGGCCCAGACUCCUACGGGAGGCAGCAGUGGGGAGUUUUGGACAAUGGGCGAAAGCCUGAUCCAGCAAUGCCGCGUGCAGGAUGAAGGCCUUCGGGUUGUAAACUGCUUUUGUACGGAACGAAAAGCCCCGGGUUAAUACCCUGGGGUCAUGACGGUACCGUAAGAAUAAGCACCGGCUAACUACGUGCCAGCAGCCGCCGUAA